UCCUGGAGGACGGUGGUGAGCUUGGUGAAGGAAGCUGAGCAGGGUGAGGUGACAGGGUCCAUGGGGGAGGCUCGUCAUUCCAGCAGGUCAGCAAAGGUCUUCCCGUGAAGGCCUCCUGGAGGUCCCCUGGGGAAGACGCUGUGGGACAGAAGACCAGAGGGAGCCCAAGGGGUCUGCAGUCACUUGCCCAGAGCUGGAGCUCCAUGGUGGCCACUGCUGAGCCACCUUGGCUUGGGGAAGAGGUUUCUGGGCUGUGUGUGCUGUUGUCCCGUUGUUGUUUAGUAAAUCUCAUCAAGUUCAUGUAUGAUUACCAGUGCAUGGAUUUAAAGGAGUGUCUUCACGAAGCUUUCUCAACACACAAGUAUAAAUGAACCCUCCUUUAGACUUGUAAUGAAAAUGGAGCUUUGGGGAGAAGGAAAAGGCAUUGGUGGGAGACGUCCUCAGCAGCUCCAUCAGUGGAUAAAGGGUUUCCCCGGAGGAAUUUGAAAUAUCUGGUAUCGGGAUGUAUGGGGGGAUGGGCAUAGCUGGGCUGUGCUGUCUGGCUGCUUUAAACUUGAUUUGAAUGCCUGACUGGGCAGUGAUUGAGGUCAGCAAUAGACACAACUCAGAAGGGCCUGAGGCACAUCCGUCCCGCGGAGGUGGGGAGCUUCCUAGGAGAGCUGACGUGGCAAAGGGUUGUGGGCCAGGAAUGAGCACUCCGUUGCCACAGGCGUGGGAGAAUUUGCCCAAAGACAACACCUCAGGAUGUUUCUCAUCUCUGCCAUCUUUUAAGAGUCGGUGAUCUAGCUCUGAAAAGGCCCUGGCUAGGCGCUGUUUGCUCCUGGACACAUGAGCAGGGGUCUGGAAUGGAGGAGAUGUUCCUGCAGAGCCAGAGGCCACGGGGACAUUAAGGAUGGCAGGGAUGCAUGUCACCCUGCCCAGUAGUUCAGCCCCCCAGGGACUCAUCCGGACAGACACAGGCCCUGGUCUCCUUGGGAAUCAAGGAAAACGAGGAAGUCAGAGGAAAGGAGAGAAAGCCACGGGUGUAAGUCUGAUGUAGGACGUCACUUCCUGUCCUCCUCUUUCUGUGCUCUCCAUCCCAGGCCCUGCACCUUCAACUCCGAGUCCCCUGACACUGCGUCAGCUACCCUGAGUCACAGUCAGUUCCACCCAGGUGGCCACUAACACCACCUGCUUUCUGAAUUACUUCUUGGUUUUGCUAACUUCUUUCCAUUGCCUCUGUAUCAGCUCCUUAUUCCCAAAGCAAUGCUUUCUAGCGAACCAUCACAGCAUCUCAGCAGCCUACAACAGCAGGCAGUGCCUUCACAUGGCCUCGAAGCUCUACUGACCUCAGAUGGGCUCACUUGUGGGGCUGCAAGCAGUGGCGGCGGCUCUGCUCCACGGGUCUGUCAUCCUCCAGGAUCAGCAGACGAGCUGGACACGUCCUUCUCUGGGGGAUGGCAGAUGCACAAGACAGCAAGCAGAACAUGUGAGGCCUGUUGAGGUCAAGGCUCAGAACUGGUAUCUAGUCACUUCUGCCCC